rnacentral:rRNA from 1 species
AGUGAACGCUGGCGGUAGGCCUAACACAUGCAAGUCGAACGGCAGCACAGGAGAGCUUGCUCUCUGGGUGGCGAGUGGCGGGCGGGUGAGGAAUACAUCGGAAUCUACUCUGUCGGGGGGGAUAACGUAGGGGAACUUACGCUAAUACACCAUACGACCUACGGGUGAAAGCAGGGGAGCUUCGGACCUUGCGCGAUUGAAUGAGCCGAUGUCGGAUUAGCUAGUUGGCGGGGUAAAGGCCCACCAAGGCGACGAUCCGUAGCUGGUCUGAGAGGAUGAUCAGCCACACUGGAACUGAGACACGGUCCAGACUCCUACGGGAGGCAGCAGUGGGGAAUAUUGGACAAUGGGCGCAAGCCUGAUCCAGCCAUACCGCGUGGGUGAAGAAGGCCUUCGGGUUGUAAAGCCCUUUUGUUGGGAAAGAAAUCCAGCUGGCUAAUACCCGGUUGGGAUGACGGUACCCAAAGAAUAAGCACCGGCUAACUUCGUGCCAGCCGCCGCAGUAA